AACGAACGCUGGCGGCAGGCUUAACACAUGCAAGUCGAACGGGCGUAGCAAUACGUCAGUGGCAGACGGGUGAGUAACACGUGGGAACCUUCCUAGGGGUACGGAACAACUCAGGGAAACUUGAGCUAAUACCGUAUACGUCCGUGAGGAGAAAGAUUUAUCGCCCUUAGACGGGCCCGCGUCGGAUUAGCUAGUUGGUGGGUAACGCCUACCAAGGCGACGAUCCGUAGCUGAUCCUGAGAGGAUGAUCAGCCACACUGGGACUGAGACACGGCCCAGACUCCUACGGAGGCAGCAGUGGGGAAUCUUGGACAAUGGGCGCAAGCCUGAUCCAGCCAUGCCGCGUGAGUGAAGAAGG
rnacentral:rRNA from 1 species